rnacentral:rRNA from 1 species
AACGAACGCUGGCGGCAGGCCUAACACAUGCAAGUCGAGCGAGGUAGCAAUACCUGGCGGCGGACGGGUGAGUAACGCGUGGGAACGUGCCCUUUGCUUCGGAAUAGCCCCGGGAAACUGGGAGUAAUACCGAAUGUGCCCUACGGGGGAAAGAUUUAUCGGCAAAGGAUCGGCCCGCGUUGGAUUAGGUAGUUGGUGGGGUAAUGGCCUACCAAGCCGACGAUCCAUAGUUGGUUUGAGAGGAUGAUCAGCCACACUGGGACUGAGACACGGCCCAGACUCCUACGGGAGGCAGCAGUGGGGAAUCUUAGACAAUGGGCGCAAGCCUGAUCUAGCCAUGCCGCGUGAGCGAUGAAGGCCUUAGGGUUGUAAAGCUCUUUCGUGGGGGAAGAUAAUGACGGUACCCCAAGAAGAAGCCCCGGCUAACUCCGUGCCAGCCGCCGCCGUAAAAC